UUCACAGCCUCAGCCCCCCCCCCCCCCACACACACACACACAAACAAAGAGGCGUUAGGCUGAGACGCUGAAAGUCCGGAUUUAAAGUGCAGAAAAUGAAGCCAUUGAAUCUGCCUGUCCAUGACGUACAAAGACACACUAUGAGCCAGUAUGAUCCGACCAGACCUGACAUCAGCAUUGAGGAGUUGUCGGAGAAGAAAGAGGCUGAUUGAAGCGGGACAGAUGACAUGGAUCCAUCCUUCCACAGCCAGGAGUGCACCGACCUGUGUCCCACACUUCAUAUAAGACUGGAAGCUACACUGAUCUCACAGCUACACACCACAGACGUCUACACACUGGAGAAGAGUCCCACAAAGAAGUCAUGACCCAGAGGCUGCAGAGAAACAUUUCAAGCCUCAUCUGAGUUUUUGUACAAUAUUUUUGCUGUAUGUAAAUAAAGCUUUCACUCCACAUA